UAACACGUGGAUAACCUACCUAUAAGACUGGGAUAACUUCGGGAAACCGGAGCUAAUACCGGAUAAUAUUUUGAACCGCAUGGUUCAAAAGUGAAAGACGGUCUUGCUGUCACUUAUAGAUGGAUCCGCGCUGCAUUAGCUAGUUGGUAAGGCAACGGCUUACCAAGGCAACGAUGCAUAGCCGACCUGAGAGGGUGAUCGGCCACACUGGAACUGAGACACGGUCCAG
rnacentral:rRNA from 1 species